AGACAGCAGCAGCCGCGGGAAUACGUAGGUGGCAAGCGUUGUCCGGAAUUAUUGGGCGUAAAGGGCUCGCAGGCGGUUUCUUAAGUCUGAUGUGAAAGCCCCCGGCUCAACCGGGGAGGGUCAUUGGAAACUGGGAAACUUGAGUGCAGAAGAGGAGAGUGGAAUUCCACGUGUAGCGGUGAAAUGCGUAGAGAUGUGGAGGAACACCAGUGGCGAAGGCGACUCUCUGGUCUGUAACUGACGCUGAGGAGCGAAAGCGUGGGGAGCGAACAGGAUUAGAUACCCGCGUAGUCCCUGUCUCUUAUAA
rnacentral:rRNA from 1 species